GAGGAUCCCAACCUGCCAGGAGAUCCCUUCCCACAGGAAGGACGUAGAGGCUCCGAUGAGCACGAUCCAGCGUGAAAUGUGGGGUGUGAAGGUCAGGAGCGGAGGAAGAUGCCAAGGCGCUUGGCCUGAGAAGCUAGAAGGAUGGACUUGCACUAACUGCGAUGGGGAAGAUUGGAUGGAACAGAUCGGGAAGGAGUAGACCAGAAGUCCCAUUCCGGACACCAUCAGAUUGACAGACCCUCGGACCUCCAGGUAGACUGUGAAAACGGAAGCCCCCUGACUCGCUGACGCCCAGAGUGGUGCUGCCACCACAGGACUCAAAGGCAGAUGUCUGGAACUGGACUUAAAACUAUCUUUUGGACCGUGGGUCCAUUUUCUGCCCAGGAUAAUGCUGAUGCCUAGUUACACAAAACACUGUGUCCAACGCCAGGGGCUCAUGAAACGCUCUGUAUCCUGUCCAUGGAUCGUCCUCACGUUUUGGGAAUCUGGGACUCCAGAACUUUCCUGACUGCCCCUUCCACCCACUCUGAACUUUCUGCCCCACUCCCCACCCGACCCGUGCCUGUGGCAGUGGAGUGCAGACGAUCUUCCCUUCAAGUCUUCAGUUCAUCUCCACUGUUUCGUGCGUGUGGGCUCCUUCCUCGCACGUGAACUCAGAAGAAGGCUGAAGCUUUUCUUUGAUGGUCUACAUCUAGUGCAGAGCCUGCCUCUGCAAGUUUCAC
rnacentral:lncRNA from 1 species